rnacentral:lncRNA from 1 species
UUCCUUCUAUUCUUCUCUCUAUACGUUGGUGUUCUAACCAAUAAUCACCAAUACGAUAUUAUGUCCGAUCGAUUCGGAAACCAACGGACGAAUGCCAAAGUGCUGUCUAAAUAAGACUAUACUUUGUGAAUUUCGUUAAGGUUCAGAUCUUGUGACCAUCGUUAGGUUUGAUUGGGUUUAACACUAAUACGUAUUCCACUGUGUUAAACUAAAUGUUUAACUACCAGAAAACUCUGCACUAUACACUUACAAUCAAAAUAGAUGCUUAGUUAUCAGAAGACUUAGAAUCAGGAAGCCUGUUAAAUCAUGACUAUAUGCUAACAAGUUAUAUUUUACGGUGAUUAAGUCUUUGCAAAUCUUUAAUUACUGACAGUAAGUGGGGUAUUGUGCACAUUACUGUUGUUUUAUUACUCUUAGGUGGGCGAGCCUAAUUAGUAAUACACGUCAUUAUUGGGUGACAGUACCCAAUAAUGAUAUGACCACAGUCAUAGAUCCGGUCAAGUGACAACUGAACCAACUAAUUAUAAGAUAAGGGGCAAAUGUAAAAACUCUUAAUGCUGUGAAUUAUAACAAAGUUGUAAUUGCAGUGAUUAAGUCUUUGCCAAUCUUGAAGGAGCAAAUGUAAAACCUCUUAAUGCUGUGAAUUAUAACAAAUGUGUUUUUGUACAAAAUGAAUGAACUCACCAGUAUUUCUUGCUGACCAACUGUUUUUAAAACGCGUUUCAGGUGAUCACAGUAGAUCGGAAUAAGAGUUGUGAUACGGCACCGAAAGGCUUAAAGAAGUGGCUUAUUUUAUCAAUUAAACUAAAUCAAGAAAUGUUGUUUUAGGGUUUAUCCCAUACUAAAGCUACAUUUGUAAAACAUAGGUUUAUUCCUAUCUGUUUAAUAAAUAAAAUCCGGUGUUUCAAAACUCUGAUAUUUUUCCUAACUCACGGUCCUGAUGAAAUUUUCCGCUGCAAUAUUUUCAAAAUAACCACCAGUACCACUUGACUGCUUGCGGCUCCCAUCCAGGGUGUGGUCGGGGGUCGUGACAGAGGUGGUAUCAGAGCCACUGGUUUAAGCAAUUGGUUGUUGUGAUAAUACCUAAGUUUAAACGAAAAAGUUAGGAAAUUGCUAUUAACUGGUAACACAUGUGAUAGUAUUUAGACUUGAACUUAAGAAAGAUACUUUAGUAUUAGCUUCGAGAUAAGCUAAUUCUUGCGUAAAUAAAGUGUGAUGGGUAUUGGUAUGCCGUGGGGAUGAUGACUAGAACAUUGCAAGUAUAGUAAAUAAGCGAUAACACUUGGCCACUAUUAUUUCUUUUUUAUUGGUACUACUGAGUUCUAGAAUAUGAUCCAUCAUGUGAAUACUAAUUACCUUGUUCUUUAAUAAAAGCCCUAAUAAAAGAUUCAUUUUUAAAUCAUAAAUUGAGAAGAUUAUAUUUAUGGGAAAUACAAAUUACCUCUCCGGCGAGAACCGGGUAAGAUGGAGUAUAUAAUAUGUCAAACAAGUGACAGAAUUCCUUAAAUAGUAUCAUGACCUGAUGUCUGACUUGUUUUUGGAAACAUGAAUCUGUUAAAUACAUUGACCUUAUGAAUGGUAUGUAUAUAACAGUAUAUGAAAUAUAUGAUUGUAUAGAUAUGCAUAUCUAUAAGGAAAUCCAAAAAACCAUAAGGAUUGACAAUUUAGAAUAAAGCACGAGCAUGUGUGUCAAUAAUAAUUCUAGAUUUCUUUAUCAGGAAUCUCUUGUAUACAUCUAUGAUUCUGACAUCGAAAACUAUUUCAUUUGAUCAUCCGUCUCGUAACUCGUGCGACAAGAUGAACGAUGUAAACCCUUUAAGUUGGGACACCAUUGAAAGUAUAAGAAUUCCCCUUGUGUUACCUUAGAUUAUUAACGCAUUAGGAAACCUGUAGCUAAAAGUUGUGCUAGGCACCAAACGUCUCAAAACUUACGUUAAUAAGAGUAAUUCUACUUUCUUUAAGAACUCUUGCGAAGAUAAAAGUAACCACGAUUAGAUGCACUUACAAAGACUCUUCACCUAUAAUCCUACUAAGAUUACCAGUAAUAAAGAAGCUGUUACGAAAUACAUGGGCUGCAAAGGACUGAAGUUGUCCAAACCAAUAGUAUAUAUGUCAAGAAACAUGAAGUGAUGUAUGCUUCAAAAUUUAGACAUUAAGAUAGAGAGACCCGAGCUUCGAAACACAUGAUCAAGACAUAUGCCAUGAAAUGGAAAGAAUGAAAUGUAGUAACUAAAGCUUUAAGUCAUAAGUUUCAUAAGAAGCCGAAACAAGUACGUGCUCUUAGAUUAAAUUACGGAUAGAUUUAAUAAAACAAUUAAAAAGUACCCAAGAAAUAGCAAUUAAGAAUGAUGCUGAAAGAUUAAAAAGGAAUUAGAAAAAGGAACCAAUGGAAUUUGGAGAUUCCAUAAGAAAAGAAUUUGGGUACUAAUCAAGGAAACCUAUGAAAAACAAAUUUCUCGAAAAAGAUCAUAGAACGAAGUAUUUGUGGCAUUGUGUAAAUGAUAUGAGGUAUCAAGAGUUUUAUAAGAAUUUCUGACAGACAAGAACGAAAAAAGAUGUAGCAAAGUUAUGUCUCUAAGUAUUUAAUCUAUUAGCAAGUUAAAGUAAAACGUUAGAAAUCUUUAGGUUGACUUCAAUGAUUAGAAGUGUCAGCAUGGAAAGGGGAUUGAUAACAAAUGGAUGUUAUUACCAAAUUUCCCAAAACAAUAAAUCGUAACGACACAAUCUGGAUGAUUAUGGAUUGACUAACCAAGUCAGCUUAAUUCCUACCAAUGAAGGAAACCAUUUAGUAUAAAAGGCUUAGUUACGUUGUAUAUGGACAAAAUAGUCUUGUUAGAUAGAAUCCCUUUAUCAUUAUAUCGGAUCGAGAUAAUCGUUCACUUUUCAUUUUGGGAAAGUUUUCAAAAAGCCAUGGAAACUUGACUGAAUCUAAGUACAACUUAUAUUGAGCAGAAAUAGGAGGAAGCAACUAUCAAGGCAUAAGAUGGGCAAACUAUUAGAAUUUCAAAUCAGAAGAAAAAUGAUACUAAAAGUCUCUACGUGAAAAGGGAAUCAUCCGAUGCGGCAAGAAAGAAGAGUUAAGUCUAAAAUUUGUUGAACCAUUUGGAAUCAUUAAAUAAAUUGGAUCAGUAGCUUAUCAGCUAGAGUUACCAGAAGAAAUGACAGGAAUACGUGAUGUGUUUCAUAUAUGCAACUUAAGGAACGCCUAGCUGAUAAAUCUUUACUUGUACCUCUUCAAGAUAUAGAGGUAAAUAAAAAUUUAAGUCCAUUGAAAGAUCUUACAAGUCAAAGAUAAGAAUCUCAAACCAUGGAAAUUGGUUCUGGUCAAAGUAAAGUGGAAUUCAAAGCAAGGACCAGAGUAUACUUAGAAACUAGGAUUAGUGUCAAAGUAAGAGUAUUCCUCCAAAUUUCUGUAAAUCUCGAGGAAGAGAUUUAAAACAAGGUGGGGAGGAUGUAACAACUUUCAAAAACACCCUAGAACGAGCCUUGAUUGAAACUCUAAACGCGUAAGAUGAAAACCGAAACGA